CAUCUUAUAGGUAAGGAAAUUGAAUGUUAGUGCGGUGAUGAUUCCUCAGAUGUCACUGUAUGUGUGAUAUCAAAGUUCGUGCAUCUAAAUGACACCAGCAUACUGUUCUCUGUUUGCAUAUUUUCAUGCUGCUGUGGAUUUUGUGCUAAAUGAGAACAGUGAGAGAUGUGCACCCAAGUUAUAUCCUGAAUGAAGGAGCUGGACUUGGAGAUCUCUCUCACCUCUGAAGUUGUGUAAGUGAAGUAUACUGACCCAGUGUGACCACGCUGCUAUUCGAAGACUUACUCAAAGUUUUCAAACAGAUUAACCGUGUGGGACUGUGAUUUAGCAAGGAAAACAGCCAGAAUAAACAUGUCAGUAUCUCCGUUUUAUGGUGGUUUCAUGUGCAGCAUUGUGACCUAUACCUCGGAGUUUUUCUUAUACCAGAUGAAGCUUGUUCUAUAGUCUUCACAAGGACAUAACACUUGUCAUAAGUAAAUGUUUCUAUUCUCUUGAUAUCAUUCCGAUUAUAUCAAAACGUGCUUUGAAACAACAAGCAGUAGAAUCACUUGGUAUAAUCUUGUCCUCAGUUGACAUGUUUACUUAUUUUUAUCCAGCCUAUGUUUGAAGUCCAACAUGAGCUCAUUUCUCAUGCUGGGGUGGAAUGUAUGAAGGGAUCCAAUUCUUUUGCAUCUUUAGAGAUUAUCUCAUGAAGCAAGGUUCAAUUUAGAACUCUGAGAUCUAACACUGAUUACUUAACUUUACGAGGAAAUACACAAAAAAAUCUGAAUGUCCAGACAAAAGCUGGAAAAAAAAACUUAUCUGUAUCUGUUUCACCCUUUAUAAAAUGGAAACCUACAAGUGUUUUCCUAAUAAAAUUGUAGUGAACCUGCACAAAGUGAGCAUCUCCAUCACAUUUGCUAUUACUAUUGUGGCUACUAUUAUUAUUAUUGCCUAAAGUAUUGUCUAAGAUGAACACAGAUUUAGAGAUACUGCUACACUCAAUAGCACUUUCUACUAUUUAGUUAAUGUCUAUGUCGUAAUUAGUAUACAAUCAUAGUAGAUUUAUUCAGCAUGACACUAUCAUAAUAACUUAUUUCAAAGAGGUUUUGAAAUAUGGAUUUUAUAAUAUAAAAUAUUUUGAGAAUCCUUCACCCAGGGAAGUUUUAUUUAUAUAAUUAUUAUCUACUUCUAAUAGAUCCUAUCUGUCCACAAAUCCCCAAUAAUACCAGCUCUACUUCUGCUGCAGUAUAAUGCUGCAUUAGCAAGUUCACCUCUAAUUUACUAGCUAACACACACCCUGGAGUCUCCUUAGAUAAUUCCCAAACCUCCUGCUUUCAUCUAACCAAAAUGAGUAUCUUUCGUUGUUGGUAAAUAUAUGAGUUUCAGAUGACUACAGUGCAAGCUGGUGAGCCUUGCUUUUCUAAUUUAUGUUUUAAUUAAUUUCCUUUCCAACUUGCUCCAUUUUGUGCAUUCUUUUCCUCUCAUGUGUUUGCAAUACUUCCCAGGGAAUAACACCUACAUUUUGAAUUAUAGAUUUCUUGAAUGCAUCUUUUAGGUAAUUAAGGUGUUAACAAAGACAAGACUCAAGUAUGAUCCUUAAAGAAUUUCUUGGCCUGGCGCGGUGGCUCAUGCCUGUAAUCCCAGGACUUUGGGAGGCUGAGGAGGGCGGAUCAUGAGGUCAGGAGAUCGAGACCAUCCUGGCUAACAUGGUGAAACUCCGUCUCUACUAAAAAAUACCAAAAAAAAUUAGCCAGGCGUGGUGGCGGGUGCCUGUAGUCCCAGCUACUCGGGGGGCUGAGGUGGGAGAAUGGCAUGAACCCGGGAGGCGGAGCUUGCAGUGAGCCGAGAUCGUGCCAUUGCACUCCAACCUGGGCAACAGAGCGAGACUCCAUCUCAGGAAAAAAAAAACAAAAACAUUUUUUUGCAUGUUUAAUCAACCAUUACACACAUCACUAAUUGGGAUCAAUUUCCAUUUUUUCAGUUCUCAUUUGAACCAUGAAAAUCAUAGGGUUAGACUUUUUCCUGACUAUAUCCAAUUCAUAUAUUUUAACACAAAAUGUUCUUAGCAAAUAUCUGACUAUAAGUUUUUGAUUUAAAUGAUUCCAUUAGGAUAAUUAAUCCAUAAAUAUAAUUAAUUCAAAAUUGAUAAAAAUAUUUAAUUAAAAUUAAAAACUGAUUGUCAUUUGGACACUCUAAAAUUUGAAGUCAGUAAGAAUGGGCUUAAAAAUGUGAGGUAUUACUUAUAAGUGAUCACUAAAGUAAAUAAAAAUUAACAAAUUUAAAAGACUUAGCUUAAUUUUGAAGAGUUGUAAAUAAGAAUGGCAGGUUUUUAAAAACACGCUUGUGUUUUGCAAUCUUCCAGUAAUAUAAUGAACCCAGCACACAUUGAUAAACUCUAUCUGUAUUUAUAGAUUGAAAAGAAGAUCAAGAAGUUUAGACAGAGACUUGGAUCAUCAACCAAUUCUAAUUCUGCUACUUAGAGAAAAAUCCAACUAACAAAAUUAUUAGGACCAACAUCACUAAGAAUGCUGGUUGAUAUCUUAUGCAUGCUCUUUGAUUAUAGAUAUAGUUUUGGUUAAUAAAUAUAUAAAAUGGGUAGCUAUGCUCAAAAGCAACACCUUCAUUUUGGUGCUAGUUGUCUUCUAAACAAACUAAUAUUAUUCGAGCUAAAGAGAAAAAAAAAAAACAAAAACAGGAAACAUGAAAAGCAGUGGCAUUAAACCAGCUCACUUUGAGUUUUCUGGACAUUCCAUUUUGCAUACAUCUCUCUUUCCAUUUUCAUUUAUAUAGGAGUUAUGCCAAAAACACUAGUUUACCAAAUGAUGUGAUCUAUUUCUUUCUCAUCACAAAACCAUCUAAACAUUCAUUUCAGUAAAAUAUCUCUCAGGCAUUUAACUUAAGUGUUAAACUGGUACUUUCUCAGAGUUCAAUUUGAGGUGGAUAAGACCAUAGUAAUUCAAUACAGCAAGUGGUGUCACUGUAAGGAAAGCCCUCAGGUGGUCUCCCUAAUUAUUUCAUACUAAUUAGCUCAGAUAGUAAAAGGUUCUGUUUUAUUACCUUGAUGCAAGUGGCUGAUGCUUUGGGAUAGUUAAUUGUGCUAUAUUUCAUUUUUUAAAUGAAAAUGUCAUUACCAGGAUAUAGCUUUUUAUUGUGCUUUAAUAUUGUCAAUAGGUAAAACAUUACAGGAAAAAAGAUUAUUUUUCAAAUUUCUUAGCAUUGAUAGCUAAAUUGCAAUUUACUUUCUAUUUUUUAAAUACUGAACUUCAUUAAUCAAACACUGUUCUGGUAUUUAGCUUCACAUUGUUAAAACCAGAGACAAAGGCCACAUAAACGGAAACUUUAGCGAGAAAACAUUAGCUGUGUUUUACCUUACAUGGUGAAUAUGUAUUUAAUUUUCUCUUCACUACUUAAAUAACUCAAAUACUAAUUCCAUGGUGCUUUUUAAGUUCUUACUAAUCCUAAGUAUUUAGUUCUGUGAUCAUUUUUAUCUUUGAAUAACAGUCAUCAUUCUCCCUUCCUGCAUUGUCAUAACCGUCAUGUUUCCAUGGAAACUGUGGAGAAAGAAUAAAAUGGUAAAACACCUCCAUUUAGGUCUAAGUUGACAGGGUUGUUUUUUAUUAGGAGCUUCAAUUAUUUAGGCAGAUAAGAAUAUGUGCAGUGGCCUAAUAAAUGAUAUAGAAUAAUAGUCGAUCUUCAAAAACAGGAAAUUAUGUUUCCAGCUAAUAGAACUUAGCAAUUUCUGUUAAGAACUAGUUAUUUGGUGGUGAGGCUUGGGGGUGUUUUGUUUUCUUCUUUAUUUUUUAUUGUACUGUUUGAAUUUUCUGUUAUCAUGUAAAAUAAAACAACAAAAUAAAAAAUCUUUAAAAAGAA